GGUCACGUUCAUUGCACUUGAAGUGAAGAAGAAGAAGAAGAAGCAGCGACCGAUGACGAGCAACUUGGGGUGCGUGGUCGUGGCCGUAGACGGCGGCGACGAGAGCAUGAGCGCCCUCCGGUGGGCCCUCGACAACCUCAAGCUCCGAUCCCCCGCCGAUUCCCCCUCCCCCUCCUCCUUCGUCGUCCUCCACGUCCAGUCGCCGCCCAACAUCGUCGCCGGCCUCAACCCCGGCGCCAUCCCCUUCGGCGGCCCCAGUGAUUUGGAGGUGCCUGCUUUCACGGCGGCGAUCGAGGCGCAUCAGAAGCGGAUCACGCAGGCCAUACUCGAUCACGCCAUGGAGAUAUGCUCCGAUAAGAACGUGAACAUCAAGACGGAGGUAGUGAUUGGGGAUCCAAAGGAAAAGAUUUGUGAAGUUGUGGAGAACUUGAAUGCGGACCUGCUAGUGAUGGGAUCCCGAGCUUUUGGCCCUAUUAAAAGGAUGUUUUUGGGAAGCGUGAGCAACUACUGCACCAACCAUGCGCAGUGCCCUGUUAUCAUAAUCAAGGGAAAGGGCGAUUGCUGACAGCUGAAAUAGUUGAAUAUGCAGCCUAUGCAUCAGGAAAAGUGCAAUGCGUUUUGGAACAUUAGAGCUGCACCCUUUUCAUGCCUUGUGGCCACACAAUGUAGGAUCAUGCUGUUGUUGUCGUAGCGUGCUUCAUUGAAACUCUGGAGCUGUUGUCGUUUGGGUUCGCAGCAGGAGCCAAUAUGCCACAACACCAAUCUUAACCAUCAGAAGCUGUAUAUGAUGAUACGGAGGGUACUUGUCGCCUCCUCUUGCUGCUUCUGUACUUUAUACUCUGAUGUGUAUGUUUGUGCGUGUGUACCUAUCCCAUUUAUUCAUUCCGUUUGCAGUGAAGCUUGGCCUGGAUGUUCACUAAGAAUAAUGAUGUGCAAUCUGCUCCUCUUUA